rnacentral:rRNA from 1 species
CCUACGGGGGGCAGCAGUGAGGAAUAUUGGUCAAUGGGCGCGAGCCUGAACCAGCCAAGUCGCGUGAGGGAAGACGGUCCUAUGGAUUGUAAACCUCUUUUGUCGGGGAGCAAAAGACGCCACGCGUGGCGUUCCGAGAGUACCCGAAGAAAAAGCAUCGGCUAACUCGGUGCCAGCAGCCGCGGUAAUACGGAGGAUGCGAGCGUUCUCCGGAUUUAUUGGGUUUAAAGGGUGAGCAGGCGGGAGAUCAAGUUAGCGGUAAAAUUGAGAGGCUCAACCUCUUCGAGCCGUGGAAACUGGAUUUCUUGAGUGAGUGAGAAGUAAGCGGAAUGCGUGGUGUAGCGGUGAAAUGCAUAGAU